AUUAGAUUUGCCCGAUACACCUGGAUAUUCCACAGCGUGGUGCGCCAAAACAAAUGUCAUCGGCCAUUGGAUCCAAGUUUAUUUUGGUAAACCUUUAUCUAUCACGGGUGUUGUCACACAAGGUAGAAGAGAUUCCGAUCAGUGGGUGAAGAGCUUCAAAGUUAGUUGUGGAAACUCAACAGAUGCCAUGAAAUUCAUUGUAAAACAAGGAAACGAACAAGUGUUCAAUGCAAACAAGGAUAGAAAUUCAAAGGUUAUUACCGUUUUUCCAGACGUUCUAAUCUGUCGAUUUAUUCGGGUUCACCCACAAGAGUGGCAAGGUCACAUAUCGAUGAGAUUGGAUUUCCUCAAAGGAGCUUGUCGCCCUUGGUUUUAGGACAUUAUUUAACUUCGUAGGCCUAAAUGAUUUUUAUUCCGGAUUAACAAUAGGCAGCAAUAAAACUGCAGUCGUAUUUAUUGUGUUUUCCCUUAGUUGAAGUCAUUUUUACUUUUUUAUUCUAUAUCUAUUUGAUUCUCAAUAUUCCGUAUUUCUGCUAACUAGUGAAAAUUCUCAACAUAUUGUGUACUGGCUAUUCAGUUACAGACCUAAACGAUACUUCGAAGUUUAACAUCGCUAUUGUUUGCAUUCACAAAGUUAAGUGUUUCAUUUAACUGCCUGUUUGGUGAACUGGUGAGUAAACCACUUCAAUCCCCGACUACUUGGUUACCUCACCACAAUUUGUUUCGUUUUUAAGCAUCCUUUAGGGGAGAGUGGGGCACAGUGGCCCUCAUUUUUUCUUUGGCGAUUUUCGAACUAUUUACUACGCUAUUUCAACUUCUAAAGCAUAUGACUACAUUGUAAGAGAAACGAACUUUUUAUUUCUUACCAAAGAAUUUGCUCAAUGGGAAUAUUUUUCCUGUGAGCCAGGUUUUUUGAAAAAAAAAUUUUGCCCCACUGUGCCCCGACGUCGGUAUACAGUGGGACGAAGGUUGGGUCACAGUGGGACACUGAGGAGGAAAUAAUUUAUAAAGAACAAAACACCAUCAGGAAAGAAAUUUUGCUAAAAUAUCGAGCCCUUAUUCGUCCUUCAAAGCUACUGGAUAUUCCAUUGCGUGAGAUCUUCACUAAAUCGGUAGUGUCUGGAAGCUCUUGCCGUGCCGCCAACUUUAUCUGGAGCUUCAAGGCGACAGACUACAUCUUCUUCAUCCAGCCCGAAUGUGCUUUCUUCAUCCUCGGGGAAAACAAAAGCGGAAUUUGUUGCUUUCGACGGGAUUCUUUGCAUAAAUAUAACUUCAAAUUCCUUCUCGUCGUCGUCCUUGUCAAGAAUUUUACCGACGUAAUGCAACGCGUUUCCACCACGCCUUCUACUGAAUUUAAUAAUGGCAAAAUCCCCCACAGCUGCCACCCGAUCUACACUAUCGUCUACACGCGAAUCAACUUCACUUUCCAGAUCGCUAUCGUCAUUCAAGGGGACAGAUGAUUCAUCACUGCUCGUUUCAGCAGGU